rnacentral:rRNA from 1 species
UACGUAGGCAGCAAGCGUUAAUCGGAAUUACUGGGCGUAGAGCGUGCGCAGGCGGUUCGUUGUGUCGGUGGUGAAAGCCCCGGGCUUAACCUGGGAAUGGCCGUCGAAACUGGCGAACUGGAGUGUGGCAGAGGGGGGUGGAAUUCCGCGUGUAACAGUGAAAUGCGUAGAUAUGCGGAGGAACACCAAUGGCGAAGGCAAUCCCCUGGGCCUGUACUGACGCUCAUGCACGAAAGCGUGGGGAGCAAACAGG